UAAAAUGAAUGAAAAUGAUAGGAAGCAUAGCUCUAUACUAUGCCACUAUGCUAGCUAUACGAGAGAGAGAAUAAAUGCAUCUUAAGUCUGGACUUGAAAGUUUCUACAGAAUCUGACUGUUUUAUUGACGCAAGGAGAUCAUUCCACAAAACAGGGGCACGAUAAGAGAUGGCUCUGUGGCCCGCAGGCUUUCUGUUCACCCGAGGGCCACAAAGUAGUCCUGCGUCCUGAGAACGCAGAGCCUGGGCGAGUACGUAGGGUUUAGAUAAGAUA